rnacentral:tRNA from 1 species
GCUCACGUAGCUUACAUAAAGCAUAUCACUGAAGAUGAUAGGACGGACCCUAGAAAGUCCCGAGAGCA